UACGAAGGGGGGCUAGCGUUGUUCGGAUUUACUGGGCGUAAAGCGCACGUAGGCGGAUCGUUAAGUCGGGGGUGAAAUCCUGGAGCUCAACUCCAGAACUGCCUUCGAUACUGGCGAUCUCGAGUCCGGAAGAGGUGAGUGGAACUCCUAGUGUAGAGGUGGAAUUCGUAGAUAUUAGGAAGAACACCAGUGGCGAAGGCGACUCACUGGUCCGGUACUGACGCUGAGGUGCGAAAGCGUGGGAGGCAACAGGAUAAGAACCUG
rnacentral:rRNA from 1 species